rnacentral:rRNA from 1 species
CCUACGGGAGGCUGCAGUGAGGAAUAUUGGUCAAUGGGCGAGAGCCUGAACCAGCCAAGUCGCGUGAAGGAUGACGGCCCUACGGGUUGUAAACUUCUUUUGUCAGGGAGCAAUUGGGUCCACGCGUGGGCUUAGCGAGAGUACCUGAAGAAAAAGCAUCGGCUAACUCCGUGCCAGCAGCCGCGGUAAUACGGAGGAUGCGAGCGUUAUCCGGAUUUAUUGGGUUUAAAGGGUGCGUAGGCGGAAUAUCAAGUCAGCGGUAAAAAUUCGGGGCUCAACCCCGUCGUGCCGUUGAAACUGAUGUUCUGGAGUGGGCGAGAAGUAGGCGGAAUGCGUGGUGUAGCGGUGAAAUGCAUAGAUAUCACGCAGAACUCCGAUUGCGAAGGCAGCAUACCGGCGCCCAACUGACAUUGAUGCUCGAAAGUGUGGGUAGCAAACAGGAUUAGAUACCCUGGUAGUC